rnacentral:tRNA from 1 species
AUUUAAGUAGUUUAAUUAAAAUAUUAAUUUGUGGAAUUAAUGAUAUAGUUAUUUAAUUAUCUUAGAUU